rnacentral:lncRNA from 1 species
CUUUAAAACCUAUACAGAAUACGUUAACAAGCACCAAGUUCUUACAGUGACCGCCAAGGGAAUCAACUCACCUCAAGAUCUACCAUUUCCAAGCAAAGGACAAUAUUGGCUUUUCCAAGCCCUAAGCUACAAUGGCUAGUCCAAGCCCUAACUAAGAACUACACUAAGGUAGUUUACUCUCAAUAGAGAGAUUUUCAAUGUCUCAUAUUUUCAUCAUUCAAUAACUAAAGAGAAAAGACCUAAUAAGAGACUAUAUAUAGCCUAGCUUAUUACAUAGUAUAAUGGACCAAAAUAGAGAGGUCAUGGGUUGUUUCUUUAACAUGUGCAAUCCCUAAAAUACCCUUAAUGAAGGGUGUUUCUUCAAUGCUCCAAAACCAUGGGGUCACACUUCAAAACUUGUAGUCUCGAAUUGGCAUCAAAUGUAAGCCCACAUGCAAUCUUCCACACACAGGUUUGUUUAAUGGCAUGCUCAAAAUGGGUCCUCCAUGCAUGUUCUCAUAUCCUCAAGGUGACCAAGUCUUGAGCCCCUAUGUGUUGGCCUCUGAAGAUGUCAUCAAAAGAUAAGAUGGUCAUUUGUCCCGUAUCAUAAAAUAAUAAUUUUGAAUAUUAGAUAAAUUUCCUAAAAAAAUACAAUGUUUGAGCCAAAACUACUGGAUUCGGCUGAACAUGGACCCGGCUUGUAGCCCUGCUCCUACCUUCCUUCUACCUCUCCCAUUUUCACCCCAUAUUAAGAAUAGUGUAAAUCUGCCCAUAAACUUUAGUGAGCUUGUGCAUACUUACUUUGAAGUAAGCUUCAAGAACUGGUCGAAUCACUUCUUGAACUUCAUCAAAAAAUUCAGGCAAAGAGAAUGACCUUCACAAAAUAUAUUUCAAUUUAUAGCCACCAGCCAAAAGUGAAAAUGAAAAGUCAAGCAAAAGAAGCUAGUAAUCAUACGAAUCUCUGCUGUAAUCUCUUUAUAUGGCAUUGCAGCUAGAGAUUCAUCAUAUUCUCACGAAAACUGUAACAUUAAUAUGGAAACUAUAAGUUGAUCUUAAAUUGAAUAUCCAUAACACAUCUUUUAAAAUGGUAAUGUCUAGCCAAACUUUUGGAAUUUUUGAACAACGGAAUUAUCACUCAUUUCCAAUCUGUAAUGAACAUCUUCUGUAAACUGUCAUCCAGAACAUAAAGUACUUGAUAUAACUCUACAUUAAUCGCA